GAUCUGCUCUGCGGCGAUUCGUCGGAGGUGCUCGGCAAUUACUGCUAGGUGCCGGCGGCCCACUCCCCGUUCUAACUCGGACGAUGCGGUGAGCGGUCGGCGUGGUGGUCAGCGGGCAGGCCGGGAGGUGUGGUGCUCGGCGGCUGGCUUGAUGUCAGCAGGCGGACCUCAUGUGCCUGUCGCGGCGGCUCUGCGGUGUGUGUGUGCAGGCAGAAGACGGGGAAGAAUCAUCCUGGGAAGUGGGCAGUAACUUGCACGAACAAGGAGGCGUGGAAAGUGGGUGCUAACGGGGUGAAGCCCGUGCCGUCCCCCUGGCUGUGGAGUGUGGAGAGUGGCAGCAGCCAUGGCCCGCCAUUUGAGGUGCAGCUUGUGUUUCAGAUCCGUUUCUGAGUGUGGUGCGUGGGUUUGAGUGUGUCUUCAUGUGUGUAAUACUCAUCUGCCAAUGGAGGAGUCCACGAGAUAGCAACUGGCGCACGGGAAUGUGAGCAAUCCUGAUCCUGUCGUUUAAUUUCCUCUUCAUUUUUGUUCGUUUCUGUUCCAAUUAAUUUCCACUGGAGGAAGCUGCAAGGGCGCAGGCGGGGAGCACACGGGAGUGCAAGUUCCAAUCAAUUUCCACUUUGUUUCUGUUCGCUGUGUUCUUCCAAAUUUCCUUUUUUUUUUGAAGCAACAACGGGGGGAUGUCUAAUGCAACUUAUUCCAAGCCGGUUCUUCCCAAAUUGCUAAAUCGGUGUUCGAUUUCUGUGGAGUCUGCAGUCUGGAUCGAUCAUAGACUGAAUGUCCUACCCGAAGAGGCCAUGCUGAUAUAGAGCAGUGUUUCCAUACAAUUCCUACGCUCUGUGACGUGGAAGCUCGGCUGCUACUAAAUGACACUACUCUGUAACAUAUUGCCUGAUAAAUGACUUGAAAAACUAAUUUGAAAAGUUACCGGAGAAAUCCAUGUAAAAUAUCGACUUGAGGGUACACGAAGUUGGGAUGUAAGCCGAUUUGGGGAUGAGUACAAAGGCACCAAAUGCAAAACACUCAGCGCUGUACGGCUACUCUGGAACAUUCGAUCUGCUCACAAUGAUUUUCAAUGCAGGAGAGAAUUCAGUGUUACCUGCUGCUGUGGUGUCAAUGUUGCAAGUCUGGUAGAACAAUUUUUGGAGAACCCAGGCAAACUGAAAAUCUCUGCUAUGGUAUGGAUCUAGCACUCAUUGUGUAGAAGCCAUUGCGUGCUCCAGUCCAUCCAGUUUGCAUUAGGUUCUGGAAUGGAAAGAGUGGUACUAGAAACAGGUGCCGACACACUGAAGCUAUCUCUUUUCAGGGAAGUGAGGUUCACCCUUCUUGCUAGUUUUAUUGGCUUGAAGAUUGUGUCUUGUAAGUGUGUUUGUAAUUGUGUUCCAGAUUGCUUACCCAUGGGUCCCUUAUGGCAGUGGAUGGUGUUGUGCUUUAGCAUAGUGAUGUAGCUGACACUGAAAUCGGUAUGGUGAUCAGAAAUUUAGUUAUAUGAACUAGGUAGUCCAAAUGGUGAGUUCUCUAAAAAAGUUGUGUAAGCUUGGCGGUUAUGGUAAUGGGUAAGAAUCAAGCAUGUUGUCUGCACAAAAUCAGUUAUGUGGCACGAUACACAAGCUAAUACUUUGCUGAUUCAGUUAAAGAUGUACAAAGAUUCCAUGAAUGUGUAUUACCUCCUGAUAGUAUAGUUAUUAAAGUAAUUAUGAAGUGUUGUGUUAUUACAUGAAAAUUUGCUUACCUGGUUUGUAGGCAGCCAAAAUGAGCGCAAAGUUUCAACUUUUUCGUUGAUUAAAAUGAGGUUGAUUAGUCCACAAAGCAACUUGUUAGACAAUUAGGCCACAAAAUGAUCAGAUUAAAUGUUGUAGAUACAACAUAUAUACAUAGUUCACUUGGAUGGUCGUUGUCACCUAUUUCUUUUCAGGAUACGACAUUUAUAACAGAUUCACGGGAACCGUCCUUAACUAUAAAAUGGUCGGAAAGAAGCCACUAUUUAUUGCCAUGAAUUUACAUGAAUAUUCUUUUUAUCUUUCGGUGGUCAGGCAAGUGGGAUUGUUUCCUGAGAAGUCAGAAAACAAACAUUAUGUAUCUCACGGCACCUUUCAUGCACCAAUGCACCAUAAAGUUACCUCACCCGCCGUUUUCCCCCUUGUUGGCGCAUGAAACUGGUCCUUUUCCCACACCAUAAUACUACCUCAUUGUUGCUUUGUCAAUUUACUUUGCAUGAGUCGUGCGCAUGGGUUGUCCAUGAUUAAUUUCUUCUUCCCGACUUUUUACCUUGACUGCCAUAGGCAUUCGUUUAUAGCUUGUGCAGUUGUAAGCUGUAUAUUUCAACACGUGAUUAUUUUUGUACUUUUCCAUUACUUGAAUAUCCAGUCUAGCAUUGAUAGAUUGACAUUUAGGUCCAAGAAAAUUUAUGGGCUCGUGAUUUAUUUCUAUUGAUUCUUGUGCCUUUAGGCAUAUUGAUGGUGGUGGUCGUCUCAACAAGACAGUCAGUAUAAGGCACUGGUUUGUUUCGUUAUGCAACAACCGUUUUGCCUAUGGCUUUCUCGUCCAAGAUAUCAAAAGUUGAGUCUACAAGUAAUGAAGGCCUUGCGUUGGAGACUACAUCAUCUGAUUGACGAAUUCUGAACCAUGGAGACAAUUUCAGCAAGUUCAAUCCAUAUAUUCUUAAACCUGCUAGGUGUAAUUGUAUACACACACCAA